GAGGAGAGGAGAGCUGAGUGGCGCAGAGUGGUGUGGCAGGGUGUGUGGAGUUUUGCCUUUUGUGGUUUAUUCAAAUAUUACGGAUGGACGCAUAAAAAGUGAGGCAGCUGAGGCGUCGAGAUUAUGGCAAAUGUUUGACUUGAACUUGAAAAUACUGGGAAAAUAGACUGGGGAAAAUACACGACACUGGAGUGAGAUGCCGAGAUCCAGAGGAAGUGAAAGCAGAGAGAGAUAUGUGCCAUAUCCGGCUCAGGGGAUCCUGGACCUAUCCCAUUCCCAUGGACCAUCGACCAUCGACCGUAAAGACCUUAAGGUUCAAAUUGUGUCAACUUUCCCAAAAAUUUGUCCAGAAUGUGGCAUUUGAUUUGCAUGGAAUUCAAAGCCAGACCCGGACUGGGAGUCUAUCUUUAGCCAUUAAAUGCAGACAAAAAUGUUAAGAUAAUCAGCAGAGAGCAGACAGCAGACAGAAGUGGCAGUGGCAGUGGCAGCCAGGAAGCGGCAACAACUUCAGCGAAUGUCUUGGGUUCCUUGCUCUGGUGGAGAGCUUAUCAAGUGCUAAGAAAUCUGCAAUUUUGAGGUGUCUGCUUAGGUGCGUUGACAGGCGAGAGAGAGGCGAAAGAGUUGGAGUCCCUCCGUUUAGCGCUAAUCUCUGCUGCUAUCCCGACGCCUGACUGCAGCUCGAGUGCCGGGUCCUUGAGACAGCAUCAUCAACACUCUCUGGACUGAAGAUGCAAGACGCAGAGACAGACACACAGUCUCUGGCUGUCUCUGGCUGUGGCUCUGUGGCUUUGUCUUUCACCGAGCGCUAUCUCAAACAUAAUUAUUGCCUCAUUAUGCGACAAUGAUGGGGUGUUGUUAAUGCCUUUGACAAACAUCCCAUCGAAUGGGAAGGCAAACAUUAAACAGCAAACAAACAGCGCA
rnacentral:misc_RNA from 1 species